GAGCAGUGAUGUUUACUUGCACAAUUUGUGAACGAUGGGUCGUCACACUCAUCUGAUAUUCAGAUGAAAAAAUGUGCUUCUGAGCUC